CUCGAUUUAUUCUCUCCUCUCUCUUCCAUCUCUCUCUCUCUAUCUCUCUCUCACGUAUUCAUUGAAUACAUCUCAUUCAAUACUUCACCAAACCUUAGGGUUUCUCCUCCACCAAACCACCCGCUCCUCCACCAAACAGCCGCCCUCCCUCAUUGAACACUUCUCACCAGACACCUGCAGCGGCACUAUGAGGGAUCCGCUCAUCCACCGGUGUCUUCCCUACUGAGAGAGAGCGAGAGUCGCCGCGCCCAGCCUGGUUCCACCGCCGACGUCGCCUGAGAUAGAGGUUGAGAGUGCAGCCUUAUUCCACCGUCUGCGUUGCCAUCGCCCCGCCUGAAACCUAAGCACGUCGCCGCCGCCUCGCUCGUCUGCCAUCGGAGUUUCACGUCGUCGCCUAAAGCCUUAAGCACGUCUGCCACCGCUUCACGCCGCCUCGCUUGUCUUCCACAAGAGUUUCACGCUUUAGUCCAGAAAAUGAGUGACACCCAAUCCGAUCCUCAAUUCAAUACGAAGAGGAGGUGGAAGAGACGUCCGAAGAGAGUUUGGAGGAAGAGGAGGUCGAAGUGCAGCCGGAGAGGCGGAGGGGAAGACGACGAGGCCCACGAAAUAUCGUCGUCAAUGAGUAUGAAGAACCACCUGUUAGAUUUAUUGCUGAAAAUUUUUGGAUUUUUAUAUAUAAAACAUAUUGUUAGAUUUAUUUUAUGAAAUUUGUUGAUAAAAGAUUGAACUAUUGUUCUUGUUUUAUUUGUGGUAUAUAGGAAAAUUAAUGAUGAUUUAAUUUA